rnacentral:rRNA from 1 species
CGGCGACGGGUGAGUAACACGUGGGUGAUCUGCCUUGCACUCUGGGAUAAGCCUGGGAAACUGGGUCUAAUACCGGAUAUGACCUUCGGCUUCCUGGUCGUUGGUGGAAAGAUUUAUCGGUGCAAGAUGAGCCCGCGGCCUAUCAGCUUGUUGGUGGGGUAAUGGCCUACCAAGGCGACGACGGGUAGCCGGCCUGAGAGGGCGACCGGCCACACUGGGACUGAGACACGGCCCAGACUCCUACGGGAGGCAGCAGUGGGGAAUAUUGCACAAUGGGCGGAAGCCUGAUGCAGCGACGCCGCGUGAGGGAUGACGGCCUUCGGGUUGUAAACCUCUUUCGACUCCGACGAAGCGAGAGUGACGGUAGGAGUAUAAGAAGCACCGGCCAACUACGUGCCAGCAGCCGCGGUAAUACGUAGGGUGCGAGCGUUGUCCGGAAUUACUGGGCGUAAAGAGCUUGUAGGCGGCUUGUCGCGUCGAUCGUGAAAACUCGGGGCUCAACCCCGAGCUUGCGGUCGAUACGGGCAGGCUUGAGUACUUCAGGGGACCGUGGGAAUUCA